CACGUAGGGGACGAGCGUUGUCCGGAUUCAUUGGACGUAAAGCGCGUGUCGGCGGUCCGGUAAGUCCGCUGUGAAAGUCGGGGGCUCAACCCUCGGAUGCCGGUGGAUACUGUCGGGCUUGAGUACGGAAGAGGCGAGUGGAAUUCCUGGUGUAGCGGUGAAAUGCGCAGAUAUCAGGAGGAACACCAAUUGCGAAGGCAGCUCGCUGGGACGUUACUGACGCUGAGACGCGAAAGCGUGGGGAGCAAACAGG
rnacentral:rRNA from 1 species